rnacentral:lncRNA from 1 species
AUAAUGCUCCUUCCUGAUUUAUUACAAAAUUGUUUUCAAUAAUGCGGCUUCCUGAUCGAUGAUCGGAUCCGUUAGAUAUGAUCUACGCUAUUGAAAAUAUUUAGAAACUAAAUUUUAUACUUUUUCGACAUUAUUUGACUAGUGUUCAAAAGGUCUCAAAAUUGACAAUUUUAAUGACUGAUGUAAUGCGUUUGUAAAUUUAACGGUGUAAAAUAAUUCAAAUCUGAUAAAAUUCUUAUAGAAAACUCUCUUUACUAUUUAGAGUAAAAUCAGAUCUAGUAUAUCUGAUCUUAAAUUUAAAAUUUUUUAUCAUUAUUUUUUAUAAAAUCUUUAUUUUCAGUUGUUCAUUUUUAAAUUACUCGUUUGAUAGGUAAAUGAUGUCGAAAAAUUAUAAAAUUUUGUUUUCUAAUACUUUUAAUAGUGCGAAUUGAAUCAAGUCUAACGGAGUCGAUCGUCGAUUUGAAAGUUGCAUCAUUAAAAAUUAUUUGGUAGCACAGAAGUCUCCAUGCUACUAGUAUACCAGUCGGACUCUCUCUCUCUGUAUAUAAGGGGG